rnacentral:rRNA from 1 species
AAUGGGCGAAAGCCUGACGCAGCCAUGCCGCGUGUGUGAAGAAGGCCUUCGGGUUGUAAAGCACUUUCAAUUGGGAGGAAAGGUUCGUAGCUAAUACCUGCGAGCUGAGACGUUACCUUUAGAAGAAGCACCGGCUAACUCCGUGCCAGCAGCCGCGGUAAUACGGAGGGUGCGAGCGUUAAUCGGAAUUACUGGGCGUAAAGCGCGCGUAGGCGGUUUGUUAAGUCGGAUGUGAAAGCCCCGGGCUCAACCUGGGAAUUGCACCCGAUACUGGCCGACUGGAGUGCGAGAGAGGGAGGUAGAAUUCCACGUGUAGCGGUGAAAUGUGUAGAUAUGUGGAGGAAUACCGGUGGCGAAGGCGGCCUCCUGGCUCGACACUGACGCUGAGGUGCGAAAGCGUGGGGAGCAAACAGGAUU